ACACAGGGAGGUAGUGACAAGAAAUAACAAUACGGGGCUUAAUGUCUUGUAAUUGGAAUGAUGGGAAUUUAAACCUCUUCCAGAGUAUCAAUUGGAGGGCAAGUCUGGUGCCAGCAGCCGCGGUAAUUCCAGCUCCAAUAGCGUAUAUUAAAAUUGUUGCAGUUAAAAAGCUCGUAGUUGAAUUUCUGCUGCAUUUCAUUUCUCUUUCUGAGUUUGUUUUUGCGGCUUAUUUCGGUUUGAUUUUUUCUUUCCGGAUGAUUACUUUGAGAAAAUUAGAGUGCUCAAAGCAGGCUUUUGCCUUGAAUAGUUUAGCAUGGAAUAAUAAAGUAGGACUUUGGUUCUAUUUUGUUGGUUUUAGGUACCAAAGUAAUGGUUAAUA
rnacentral:rRNA from 1 species